rnacentral:rRNA from 1 species
GACGAACGCUGGCGGCGUGCUUAACACAUGCAAGUCGAACGGUGAAGCUCCAGCUUGCUGGAGUGGAUCAGUGGCGAACGGGUGAGUAACACGUGAGCAACCUGCCCCUGACUCUGGAAUAAGCGCUGGAAACGGCGUCUAAUACUGGAUGCGAGAAGGGUCCGCAUGGGCACUUUCUGGAAAGUUUUUCGGUUGGGGAUGGGCUCGCGGCCUAUCAGCUUGUUGGUGAGGUAAUGGCUCACCAAGGCGACGACGGGUAGCCGGCCUGAGAGGGCGACCGGCCACACUGGGACUGAGACACGGCCCAGACUCCUACGGGAGGCAGCAGUGGGGAAUAUUGCACAAUGGGCGAAAGCCUGAUGCAGCGACGCCGCGUGAGGGAUGACGGCCUUCGGGUUGUAAACCUCUUUCAGCAGGGAAGAAGCGAAAGUGACGGUACCUGCAGAAGAAGCACCGGCUAACUACGUG